CACCGUUGUCAGCCCUGCGUGGUUGUUAUCUUGCUUGUAUUGCAGAAGGCCUGAACCUUAGGGCUUUCUCUAUUCUCAAAAUCCGAUGACAUCGAUUUGUUCAGUUUGGCUUUGAAUCUAUAUCUGAAUUUAUUUCCCACUUCAUCUGUUCCCUGCUUGUUUGUCAGUAAGGCUUAUUUCGUUGCAAGAAUCAAGAGAAGAAAAGGAUAAACACAAGGUUUGGUUGAGUUUGCUUAAUUCUCACGAGUGCGCCACACACUGACCUUCAGGAGUCAGUAAGGCUUUCUGGCUUCACUAUGCACACUCAAUUUCCUCCGCAGCCGCCGGCGGCGACAGCUUGGCAGCAACAUCACAUCAUCACAGCAAGCAACAGUAGGAGAAUAAACCUGGUGAAUUGAAGAACUUGAGUUCUCAAGAGUAGGAAGAAAGAAGAGCAAAGAUGACUGAUGUCCACCUUCAUUAGACGUGCAUUCUCCUACAGAAACCUUCUUCUCCUUCGGAGCUCUGCCCUUUACGGUCGUGAUCUCUCAUGCAUGCCAAUGACUUGCCUAAUUAAACUUCCUUCUGCGCAAAACAUAUUGUCUUAGUUAAAAUUGGGUUAGCUAUUGGGUUUGUAUAACUUAGAGGCUGAUGUUAGUACAAUUGAAGUUCCUCCAGAUGUCGGGCCUACUAUUAAGGAAAACACUAUUUGGUAGAAGGAGGCGGCAAUGGCUGCAUUAUCAGGAGAAUUAAACAAGAUGCGCACAGGAAAGGCAUCUCUGGGUAUAUUUUAGGGUUUAGGCUGUGAUUGUUAAUAAUCAACUUGUACAUGCAUGAUGAUAUGUUUCUACAGGAAUGUUUGACCAUAUAAUUGUAAAAACUGGAGGGGUAAAGAUGCCUUUAAACCGAAUCGCUGUUGUUUCAGUCAUAGAUCCAAAGACCUUAUCUGUAAAUCCAUAUAAUCCACUGGUACUCUACUGAAACAGACAGGCAUGCAUACACCUAUCUUUAGGCUAAUUAUUUUCUGAACCAGUUCUUAUUCUAGCUUUCUAUGGUUUACCUAGCAGUCUGGAUCUUAUUCAAAGUUUUUUUUUUUCCCCAAAUUUGUGUUCUUUAUCAUGGACUUCAAGGCAACGAAGAUUAUCCAAUUUUACAACAUUUCCAUUUACUUGUAUUUUCACUUGUAAUCCCCGGCCAUUGGAGAUCAUGUCUAAGUUUCUGUUGAGAUUUAAUUGCUAAACUAGUACGACAGUUGAAUCCCAAUCACUUCUACAGGCACUUGAACAAUUAGAGAACGCCGUUGUUUCCUCUCCUUUGGGGUUAAAUCCUAAAGCGGGUGGUGAAAGAUUGAUUGCUGUUAUUCCACCGUGAGUUCUGAAUCUACAUAUUCUCACUGAUGCCUAUCAGAAUGAAGUCCAUUUGGAUAUGCUAAAGGACUAUAAAAAAUUCGCUCACUGUAACUUACUAACUUACUUCACCAUGUGACGAUCAGAUUGACCAACGAGCAUAUGCAGGCUAUGAAUAAGUUGGUCGGCAAGUCAUGUGAAGAGAUGCCUGGCAAAGCAUUAGAAGGGCCCGAAAAAAUGUAUGGAGGAAAGCUGUUUCAUUCCCUUGAUCUGUAUGCAUAUAUUGUUGAGAAAAAGUGGCACAAACAACUCUAUCUUUGCAAUAAAACAUCUAGAGAACAAUGCCCCAAUGCCCCUCUAAACUUCACAGCACCUGGACCAGGGUAGAUGAU